CGGGGUGUGGCGCAGUUGGUAGCGCGCUUGCUUCGGGAGCAAGAGGUCGCAAGUUCAAAUCUUGUCACUCCGACCA
rnacentral:tRNA from 1 species